GAUGAACGCUGGCGGCGUGCCUAAUACAUGCAAGUCGAACGCAUUGUGGUUGAAAUGAUAUGAAGAACUUGUUCAGAUUUGAUUUUCAACAUUGCAAUGAGUGGCGAACGGGUGAGUAACACGUGGGAAACCUACCUCUUAGCAGGGGAUAACAUUUGGAAACAAAUGCUAAUACCGUAUAAUAAUUAAAACCGCAUGGUUUUAGUUUAAAAGAUGGUCUUGCUAUCACUAAGAGAUGGUCCCGCGGUGUAUUAGUUAGUUGGUGAGGUAAUGGCUCACCAAGACAAUGAUACAUAGCCGAGUUGAGAGACUGACCGGCCACAAUGGGACUGAGACACGGCCCAUACUCCUACGGGA
rnacentral:rRNA from 1 species